GACGAACGCUGGCGGCGUGCUUAACACAUGCAAGUCGAACGGAAAGGCCCUGCUUUUGUGGGGUGCUCGAGUGGCGAACGGGUGAGUAACACGUGAGUAACCUGCCCUUGACUUUGGGAUAACUUCAGGAAACUGGGGCUAAUACCGGAUAGGAGCUCCUGCUGCAUGGUGGGGGUUGGAAAGUUUCGGCGGUUGGGGAUGGACUCGCGGCUUAUCAGCUUGUUGGUGGGGUAGUGGCUUACCAAGGCUUUGACGGGUAGCCGGCCUGAGAGGGUGACCGGCCACAUUGGGACUGAGGUACGGCCCAGGCGCCUACGGGAGGCAGCAGUGGGGAAUAUUGCACAAUGGGCGGAAGCCUGAUGCAGCAACGCCGCGUGCGGGAUGACGGCCUUCGGGUUGUAAACCGCUUUCGCCUGUGACGAAGCGUGAGUGACGGUAAUGGGUAAAGAAGCACCGGCUAACUACGUG
rnacentral:rRNA from 1 species